ACAGAUGCUGUUCUCUGUGUAUUGCUGCAUUACUGAGAAUGCACUGAAACAGGCAUAAAACUGAAAGGAACUUAAAUAAAAAUGAAGAGGAAAAGACAGAACAAGGGGCGAAAGAAAGGAGCAGAUAAAGCAGGUCGGAACAAUGACAGUCUUAGGCAAAGUGGACGGGAGGAGAAGGCCAAAAGAUCAGAGCCUGGCAGUAGUACGUCAAGUCCAGCCCAGUCGCAGAAGCAGCCUGAUAACACCUCAACCAGACUUAGAGACCAGGCUGAACAUCAGGAGUCUGAUCAGGGCUGUAACAGGGCCGUGCCUGGGACAGGCAAAGUGGAGGCUCAAACUCAAACAAUCAGACUGGAGGUCAGAGACAGAGUGACCCAAACUGAGUCUGUCAGGCAAAAUUCUCGUCACACGCAAACCCAUUCAGCAUGGGGGUCGACGCAGCUCGAGCCAGCAGAGGAUGCUAUGGAGUGGGAACCGACAUCGCAGGACAGAGGAAAUGCAGAAAAUGAGAAGAAUGAAGGAGAAGGUACUAAAGGCUCAAUGAAAGAGUUUACAUCUGACGAGAAGAGCGGAGAGAGUGCACUGCCGGAGGACAAUGUGCCCCACCUUGAUGCAGAAAAGGUGAAGGAGAGUAAUAAAAACGAGAAGGUAGGAAGGUCAGGAGAAGAUCCACAGAAUUCCUCAGACCAUUCCUCAGCAGGUAGUGGACCAAAGUCAUAUGCUGCUGCAGCAUCAGCCACGGAGCACACCAAAGGCUCAAAGGAGCAGAGCGUUCAGACAGCAGCGAGACAGGAGGGCAGAACUCACAGCAAAGGAGAACAGAGAAAAACAUCCCCAGUGAGAGGACCGACUGGGCAGCCAGUGUUCACCUUUUAUGUUUACAUAGUGGUGGAUAAAAAGUUCAGGUUUAACAGAGAUGAGGACAAACUUCUGCUCUGUUAUACAGGUGGAUCUGAUGAAUUGGAAAUCACCCAUUUCAAGGGCUUGCGUGAGAAAGGCUAUCUGAUCGAGGCAAAGUUCUCCGUUGAUGAAAUUAAUUUGCAAAGGGGCAGUUUAAUGUCAUAUAAGUAUGCAGUGCUUCAACGACAGAAGGUAAUAGAGGAAAUUGCCACAAGAUACCACCAGAUCCCUAUUGAUCACUCUGUCAAAGGUAUGGAAACUGUGUCUUGCAUCAGUAUUCAGAUGAGUCUCUGGAUUGUUUCUGACUGCUGA
ensembl:lncRNA